rnacentral:rRNA from 1 species
GACAGAGGUGCCAAGCGUUAGGCGGAAUCACUGGGCUUAAAGCGUGUGUAGGCGGAUUUGUAAGUACCUUGUGAAAUCCCAUGGCUCAACCAUGGAACUGCUCGGUAUACUGCGAAUCUUGAGCCACUUAGGGGCUACCGGAACAAAUGGUGGAGCGGUGAAAUGCGUAGAUAUCAUUUGGAACGCCAAUGGUGAAAACAACUCGCUGGGGAAGUGCUGACGCUGAGACACGAAAGCCAGGGGAGCGAACGGG